rnacentral:lncRNA from 1 species
UUUCCCUUAUAUUACCAACAAAUUACUCCCAUAUCCAGAUCCACCCCCAAUUUUAUACCUAAUACAUGUAUAAAUAUUAAUAUUUAUAUUUCUAUCCAAAUCCGUCCAAGAAUCUGUGUUUUUCCACAUUAUAUUUAAUUCAAUCAGGUAUAUAUUUAGAGUUUUAUCUAUUUAUCAAUUUUGCUGUACGAUUCCUUAAGUCAGUGUUUUUCCACGUUAUGAUUUAUUCAAUCACGUAUAUAUCCAGAGUUUUAUCUAUUCAUCAAUUUUGUUGGAUGAUUUUUUUUUUUCUUCUAAUAAAUAUACGCAUUUCUCCCCUUUUUUUUUUUUUUUAAAUUUAUUUUACAGUUUUGACACCUCUUUCCUUUCAGUUUCAGGCUAGACUCUUGAAUGUUUUUAUAAUUUUAUUAGAUAAUUUGAUUAAGGCUUAUUAGUUUUUAGUGAAUAGUUAACUAAUUUCAAGUUUUGAAUUUCUACUGUAAAUUGAAUUUGCUGGAUGUUGAAAUUUUUAGUGUACUUGGAUUUUCUUGAUUAUGAAGUAUAGUCAUCUGUGCAUUCAAAUUGUCUGGACCAAGAACUGAGAUACAGACUGAAAUCCAUUGGAUGAAUGUUGAAGUUUAUUGUUUUUAAUUGCUUUUUCAAUUUAAUCAGUGAACCAACUUCACCUUAAAAUUUAAUGUGUUAUUUUGAAAAUAAAUAAAUAAAUUGAAUUUCACCACAUGUAUUAAUAUUUGCCUAUCAUUA